rnacentral:lncRNA from 1 species
UUUUUUUUAGAAAAGUCUGUAGACAAUUGUAUUAUGCAUCAGUUUUGAGAUCAGCCUAAGUUUUUGUUGAGGUUUGUGUUGCUCGGUCUUUAGUUUUCUAUGUAAUGUUUUGAAUAUAAAAAGAAGAUGUGGUAUGAUUGCCAAUGAGACAAUUAUACAAAAUAGACCAAAUGACACAGAAAAUAACAACUAUAGGUCACCGUACAGCCUUCAACAAUGAUCAAAGCCCAUAUGGCAUAGUCAGCUAUAAAAGGCCCUGAAAUGACUAAUGUAGACUGUUGAAUUUUGAUUGUUUUUCAUUUUUUUCCAUGGCGAUGUCAGAUUCUCUUCGACUUAAAGAGUUGUGAAUGUCCUACAAUAUCUUACGUUUCUUUUUUUUUGUCUCCUGGAAUUUUGUAUAUUGAAAUUCUGUUCACUGUAGUCAUUUUGAUUUCUCCUGUUCUCCCCCUGAGAAUACUGCACGCCUGUAUCUUUAUAUACAGUUUAUAGACAACAU